AUGGAAAAAGAACUGGCUUGGAAGAGCUUGUGGAUAGCUGAGCAUGCGAGAGUUUCCAGGAAGAUGAACAAGAACACAUCCACGAGAUGGGAGGGUGGCGCACCCCAACUCCACCUGGACAGAAGCUCCUGGGCUCAUGACCCUUCCAGAUCUUGCCCUGUGCCUCUCUCUUCAUCUGACUGUUUAUUUGUAUCCUUUAAAAUAUCCUGUGUAAUAAACCAAGUAAGUGUUUCCCUGAGUUCUGUGACCUGCUCUAGCAGCUCGUGGGAGCCCUGAUUUAUACUUGGUAAGUCAGAAGCGUGGGCAAAAUAACGUGGGGCUUGCAAUUGUUGUCAGAAGUGGAGGGCAGUCUUGUGCGACUGAGUCCUCAACCUUUGUGAUCUGAUGUCUCCAGGUAGAUAUUGUCAGAAUUGAGUUGAAUUAGAGAACACCCCGCUGUUGUCCUCUGCACAAUCACUUGCUUGCUGGUGGGAGAAAUCCCCACACAUCUGGUGUCACAAGCAUGUUGUGAGAGUAUAGAGGAAAAUGGUUUGCUUUUCCACCCAUAGACACAUACAGAGGGAAAAUGAGGUGAAGACACAAGGAAAAGACAACCAUCUAUGAGCCAAGGAGAGAGGCCUUAAAAGAAAUCAACCUUGCCAUCUUGAUCUUGGACUUCAAGCCUCCAGAACGGUGAGAAGAUAAGUUCUGUUGUUUAGGUCGCCUGUCUGUGGCGUUUGUUAUAGUAGCCCUAGCAAAAUAAUACAAAGCCUUUUUCUGUACUAGGAACUUUGUGCUCUGCAUUUUCUGGUUGGAAAUCUUUGUUCCCACGUUCAUUUCAAAUAUUCCGCCCUCACAGAGGCUGUCCCCACCAGUCAACUAAAAUUAUCGCCCCCACUCCCAACAGUCAACCUCUUACCAGCAACCCCUGGCACAGGAGUCUGUUCUGUAUUUUUUAUACUUCUAUUAGCACCUGAUAUUAUUUACUUGUGUUACUCUUUAUUUUCUCUUCCCUGAUCCCUUCUAGAAUGUAAGUGCCUUAAAGGUAGUCUCGAGUUCAUUUUUAUGAAAUGAAGUUCUGUCAGUUCAGAGCCAGGGUCUGGUGAUUUAAAAAAAAAAAAGAGGAAAUAACUUUUGAUAGAAGGAAUAGUUCUGAUCCCCCCAAGCCACUGUGCAAGGUCCAUGAAGUUUUGGUAUCUGCUAUGGGCAAUCAUAGACCAUCAUCAGUCUUUCAUUAUUCUCUUGCUCCAAGUUCAGAUUUUUAAAACAUUCAUUUUCAUUAAAUCAUUUGCUUUUUAUAGGAGGCUUGGCUUUUCUCCAAUAUGCCCUGCAAAUGCUGGUCUGUUAUACUUACAUUAAAUUAAGCCUAAAGCUGCCUCCUUACAUGUUUUAAGUUCGGUCUAAAAGUUUGUCUAUAUGUAGUGAACUGUAACCUAACCGGAUGCGUCUAAAGACUGUAACCUACUCUUGCACCAAUUACUGAGUUUUGGCCACUCUAAGGUGACCAACUGUUUAAACCAUGUUCAAAUAAGGCACAUGCUGAGAUGUAACCAAUCCAGUGAUUUCGGUACCUCACUUCCGUCUUCCAUGCCUCUUUUUCUUUUUACUGUCAACAAAUCCUUUGUGACCACAUGCGGGAGUUGUUCUGAACCUAUUCUGGUUUAGGGGCUGCCUGACUGGUGAAUUGUUCCUUGCUCAAUUGAACUCUGUUAAGUUGUUUGUCUUAAGUUCUUCUUUUAACACCUGUAAGCAACAAUGGCUGCAUCUUAAGUGAGGCCCCCUCACCCUAGUCUAUACUUCUGCAUGCUCUCCUGCAUUUGUGUAUGCUUUGGCUUGUGUGUUCUCCUUAAGGAGUCAACAUUCUGCAUAUCGUAGUACUGGGAGGAGAGUAUUAAACCAGCUCUGGCAGGAAAAGCAACUCUUCUUGGAGAUAGAACUGAAAAUAGAUUUCCCCAUUGGGCAGAAAUACAGAUGCAUGAAAUCUCUUGGGCAUCCUAUUUGAUACUCCUGGCAGCAAUAGUUCUGGGAUCUUAUUAUUUGAAUGUUUGUUGCCCAUUGUGAUGAGGAAUACAUAUCCACACAUGAAUGUACAUACAUACAGUAGAAUAUUAGAAAUGGUAGAAAUUUCAUUUCUUGUGUAAUGAAACCCAAUCUUUCCAGUCAUUUACUAGUCAGGAGAGCUGGUCUCACAAUUUCAUAUGGAAAUAUUAUAUUUGAAGAUAUAUGAUCUUCAUAAUUUUGUUUCGGAUAUGGAUGAAAAGCAAUCUGAGAGCUACCAGAUUAAAUAAAGAACUGUAAUAAUCUUUUUUAUUCCUGGGAAGAGAAAUGAGGCUGACUUGAAAAAGAACAGAUCAACUUGUUAAUGUUUCAAAAAAUAUCUCUUUAGAAGUAAACACAAUUUCAUGAAAAUUCCAGUGGUGUUUAAUUUAGCUAAUAUUAUUACUGCCUCAUGGAAACUGUAACACACAGCUGUGUGAUGGGUUGCUUCUCACACUGAUUUGUGUCACAGGAUUUUUCAACUUCUGAAAGUUUUCAACUUCUGAAACUAUUUUUUUUUUUUUUUUGGCUAAAAGGAAGUCGAAGGAAGAAAAAGGACAAAAUAUUGACUAUACAGAUGAAAG
ensembl:lncRNA